rnacentral:lncRNA from 1 species
UGGUUAAUUUCAAAAUACAUUGUCUAUCGUGAAAUCCUCACAGAAGUCCACCAUUUCUUAGUCUUCUUCUCCCUCGGGAUCAAUGUGUGUCUCAUUUAUGGAGCCUCUCACUUGUUUAAGGGAAGUCGACCUCCAAGAGGAGCCCAUCACCUAUGUCUGUAUCAAGCUCAAUGAUGCCAAGAGAAGCUAUACUAUGUAUACAGCAGUUUGUACACUAAUUAUAAAUCCUGAAGAACAAGAGCAACUAUUUAAUGAUACAUGGAGUUUGUGCUCCUUCAGAUGAAGUCCCUUGAUCAUCUGAACUCCCAAAGGAAGGUCAUUUACAAGAAUAGAAAGUGAAACAAUUUUUUGUACAAAUAUACUUUAAAUCUUUUUUCCCAACUCGAGUGUUUGAAACAAAGUUACUAAUAUUUUCAGGUGAUAUUAUAGCUAACAGUGAAGUUACGACCUAAAUAAGAAAAAAGAAAAAUACAGCUUUUGUGCCCGAGAUUGUUACCUUUUGGCCCGCCUGCAUUUCUUUAUGGAGAGGAGGCAGAAGUUGUUCCAUUGGCUUAAGUACCAGAAGCAUGAGGUUAUCUGUUUGGCUAAAAAUACUAGCAACUUGGAUACUAUAUUUAGUGAACUCAACUCUAGUAAUUGUGUGAGGACCCAGCAUGUUUAGUUCCACAUCGGUUAUUUGCUAGAUAAAUCUUAGAUACUCAGAUCUUAAAUAGGAAAAGUAUGUGAGGACCUAUGCGAGCGUUUGUUUAGUCCCAUAUUGAUUAUUCGUUACAGAGAUCUUGUGCAAGAUUGACUGUUGAAGAACCCAAAAAAUACUUUCUGGUGAGGC